rnacentral:rRNA from 1 species
AUUGAACGCUGGCGGCAGGCCUAACACAUGCAAGUCGAACGGUAACAGGAAGCAGCUUGCUGCUUUGCUGACGAGUGGCGGACGGGUGAGUAAUGUCUGGGAAACUGCCCGAUGGAGGGGGAUAACUACUGGAAACGGUAGCUAAUACCGCAUAACGUCGCAAGACCAAAGAGGGGGACCUUAGGGCCUCUUGCCAUCGGAUGUGCCCAGAUGGGAUUAGCUAGUAGGUGGGGUAACGGCUCACCAAGGCGACGAUCCCUAGCUGGUCUGAGAGGAGGACGAGCCAGAGGGGAAGUGAGAAAGGCGAGGGAGGCCUACGGGAGGCAGCAGGGGGGAAUAGUGGACGAGGGGCGAAAGUUUGAGAAAGCCAUACCGCGGGGAGGAAGAAGGACUUCGGGCUGCAAAGCCCUUUUGUGGUGAAAGAAAAGAAGAAGGUUGAUAACGCGCGGGUAGGACGGGACCCAAAGAAUAAGAACCGGCGAACGUCGUG